AAGAAACCUCGAAAUACCAGAAACCAGCCACCGAAAAAAGAAUGAAAAAAAAAAUGAAUAUACGUGCGGGAGGGAGACGGCGGGCGGUAGAAUUUUUUCAUUUGCGAUCAUUGAAUCGCUUGAAUCGGGUGAUUAUUAUGCCGCCCCUAUAUUGGACUUCGGAAGAGUAACGGAAACAGAAAACAGAAAACAGAAACAGAAACAGAAACAGCAGCGGGAACGUCGGCGCAGGGCAUCGGCUUCGUGCAGCGUACACACUAUGGGGUGAAUUUGUCGAUGGGAACGGGUGAUGUGCAGCAGGAAGCCAAUCCGAACGAUGGCAAUCAAUAACUUUGAAACCUACCGCCGUUUGGGAAACAAAUUCAGCAAGUCGGUUGAUUGGAAAAACCGGUGGCAACGACUAACCGUUUCAAUGGUAUACCAGUCGAACGCGAACGUCCAGUUCGUGCGACGUACAUCAGUGUGUGCACGCGCACGGUACACCCACACGCUCGCACCGUCGUACGGUGUACGCGUACGAUUUUGCACCGCGGACUGACCUCCGCCCAUUUUUCUCCCCGCAUAUCCGCACAUGCACGUUGUCCUCUGUUGUUUUUUUGUUUUUGGUUUUCUGUUUUUUUUUUUUUUUUGUUUUUGAUUUUUUUUGGUUUUUCCCAUUUUACACGCACUCGUUCGACAUUUUCGCGUGUUGUAUAUUUUUUUUUAACCCGCACACCGAUAACUAUUUUGAUAUCCGCACGUACGUAGCUAGUGGCUACCUACCCACCGGUCACCGGGUCCACGUGAAUCCCAAUUCUCAUGGUUGCAUUUUAUUUCCAAUUCCAGAGCUGGAAGAAUACAAUAGAAGAGGGAGACGGCCGCGAUCGUCGAAGAGGAGAAACGGUGACGUGGACCGUGUGGCGGCAUGUUAAAAACCCCUUUCCCUAACCCCCCCCGUAUGCUACGACGCUUUUUCGCCCUUCGUCAUUUCCCCCGCAGAUCCCCAUUUUUCUUUUCAUUUUUUUUUCAUUUUUUGCGACGGUCAAUGGUACAAUCAACGUGUACAUGAGGCGCGCAUUGUUUGUUUGUUUGUUUGUUUGUUUGUUUCUUUGAUAAUUUAUCGGUAAGAAUUUUUCAUUUAAUCACAAACUUCGUAAGCGCGUGUAAAACAAAAAAUCAAAGUCUUCGAGCAUUUCUACCGCACGAAUCGGGUUUUUUUUUUAGUUCGUCCUUUUUUUUUUUUUUUUUUUUUCAUUUGUCGCCGUAGAGUCAAAUUCUUUGCGAAAAAAGGGAAUUUCUCUUUUAUUUUCUCCCCGCUUCUUCUUAUUCCCAAUUCGUUUCAGGUAUAACGUCGUCGUACGGCCGGUGUUCAACGAACCCGACCGAUGAAUCGACGAACGUAUGAUCGUUAGGAGGAAACGGGGCGACGGAAAUACCCUAUAAGGAUGUGGGCUUCAGCGAGGUACAUGUGUGCCGUGCAUAUGUUGUACGUAAUACAGUUGGAAAAAUGUGAAGAAAAAGAGAAAAAGAACAAAAGAGAAAAAAAAGAAAAAAAUUGGAGAACAAGGAGAGGAGGAAGAACAAUGGUGGAGAUCUAACGCGGAUAAAUACAUUUUUACAAGACUCACUUCGGGCACUCGAUGCAAUUCAUCAUCGCUCCAUCUACACGUGUAUUAUCUGGGUUACCACUCGGCAUUCUGAUUUAUCGCAAUGUGUACGCCAGUCAUUAAAUACGUACACCGGGAGCGAUAAUUGUAAUCCGCGAUACUUCGAAGGGCUGCAAACGAGGAAACUACCCCCCGGUAAUUGUAGAGAUACGUUGGAAAUGAUUUAUUCAGAAAUAUACGCCACGUGCGCGAACGUACGUUGAAAAUAUAUAUUUCUCUUUUGUGACAAGUACUUUGGGCAGACCGUAUUGAAACAGCCUCCGUCUAUUCUCCGUUAAUAUCCAUCGAUAUUUUAGAAUUAAUGCGUCGAGCGAAAGAUCACCGCUGCACCCUCAUUAUAUCGUUGUCGCUAUUUCGCGAGAUCUUUUCCACGUUUUUCUUCCUUCGAUUUUUCUUCUUCUUCUUUUCACGUUUCGAGACAGAUAGUCUCAGACGGACCUCCUCCUGUUUGUCACGAUUCGAAAUUGACGGGAAAUUUACAUAUCUGCACCUUGCUCGCUCUCGUGAACGAUAAAAGCGAAUGCCCUGUACGCGUACAUACCGAGUACGAGUAGAAAGAUA